rnacentral:rRNA from 1 species
UACAGAGGGUGCGAGCGUUGUCCGGAAUCACUGGGCGUAAAGGGCGCGUAGGCGGCCUGCUAAGUCGGGGGUUAAAUCCUGUGGCUCAACUGCAGGGCUGCCUCCUAGACUGUCGGGCUUGAGCACGGUAGAGGCAGAUGGAAUUCCCGGUGUAGCGGUGGAAUGCGUAGAGAUCGGGAAGAACAUCGGUGGCGAAGGCGGUCUGCUGGGCCGUUGCUGACGCUGAGGCGCGACAGCGUGGGGAGCAAACAGG